AGCAAUACUCACCCAGACAGAAGAGACCACGGUAAAGAUCAGCAGACGGCUUCUGUGGGAACAAAGACAGGGAAAGGGGAAAUGAGUUCACCAGAAACCAACAGGCAGCACAGGAGGUGGUAAACCCGAAAAAGAAAAUGAAGAAAAAGAAAUACGUGAAUUCUGGCACAGUGAGUAGCCACCCCGGUCUCUGCAGCCGGGUGUAGACAUUCUGAGCCCCAAGCUAGGUCUGGUAUCAGGGAGGCCCAUGCGUCUGUGUGUGUGCAUGGGCUGAGUGUGGGAAUCAGACAUCCAAGAGAGAUGGGGUGGGGAGGGGUGGGGCAGAUGGAGCAACAGCCAGGGGAGGGAGUUGACUUGCAGACCACACAACAGGCGCUGGCUGUAUCUAGCAUGAGGAAUCGCAGAGACACCCACGGGACUUCCUGCAGGAAGGAAGAGGAAGAGAAGUUGUAUUUAUUGGGCCCCUACCCUGGGAAAUUCCCCACGUCGGUGCUUUUCACAGGUUGUUGCCCUGAGAGGCAGAUAUUAUCAUCCCCUAGUCAUGAAAGAGGAAACCAAGGCUGCAAGCAGGAAAGUGACUCAGCUAAGGUCACACAGCUAGAAAGUGGUAGAGAUGGGAGUCAACAUGACAUCUCACUCCAGAGCUGGCAGCUGCUACGGGCACUGCCCCUGCUUAACCGUGACCUUCCUGGGAUGACACGCCGGCCUAGUGGCUUCUGGGGGCUGGUCUUGAGGACAUUCAUACGUUUAUUCAGCAAAUACUUACUGAGUGCUACUGUGUGCCAGGCACUGUUCUAGGCACAUCAGAUACAGCUGGAAACAAGACAGACCCAAAUCCCUGGUGCUUAUAUUCUAGUGGGAGGAGACAGAGAAAACACACACACACACACACACACACACAUGCCUGUGUGUGUCAGUUGAUUAUGACAGCUAUGGAAAAAGUAUAAAGGGUAAAGGGACAGGCAAUGGAGGAAGUAUUGAGGAUACUGGGGAAAGGGAAUUCCAGCAUUCCUGCUGUAGAGAACAGCACAUGCAAAGGCCCUGAGGUGGAGCUCACAGUGCAUUUCUAGAACAAGCCACUUUCUCUGCAGUGCAAACACACCCAGGUUCAUCCUCUCUGUGUUCCUUCCUCACUCUAGAGGCCCAUGGCUAGUGCAGCCAAGCCUGGUCAUUUGAGUCAGGCAGACUGUAUCUCCAGACCUAGAAGAGGUCUUCAGGAGCUCUGGGGUUCCUCUGAGGAGCCUCAUUUUCUCUGUCUGUAAAGUAGGACUAAUAAAUCAUCCCCACCUUGCCACUGCACAGGGCAGCUGUGACAGACACAUGGGAGAUGCAGGCUUGUGAACUGUAAAAUUACUCUGCUCAUUCAAAGGGGACUGAACACCACUUCUUUGAUUGUAACUGCUUCACAGACUGGGGCUUGGAGUCAUAUUUCCUUUGUCCAAGGCUGCGGUGUUUCUUAGUGGGGAGGCUGUCAGCAUUUGGGCAGGAAAAUUCUUCAUCUCACAGGAUGUUUAGCACCCCUGGCCACUGCCCAUAGCUACCAGUAGAGCCCCAGUCAUUAUGAGAACCCCCAAAAUUCUCCCACGCCUUCCUAAAUUCCCCUAGGGAAGACAGCACCUUCCCCAGCUGGGAAUAAAAAGGUUCAAAAACCACUGAUCUCAUCCAGCCUUCUUACUUUAGAGACGAAUAAACUGUGGCCUAGAGAGGGCAUGCAAUUUGUCCCAGGUCACACAGUGAGUUGGAGACAGAGCGGGUCUAGGCCCAGGUCUCUUGACUUUCCUUUACUCCAGCAUUUCCCCAUCUUCAUCGCGAAAAAUCACCCGGGAUGCAGAAAGCUUGCUGAAAUACAGACGCCCAGGCCAGUUCCCUGGGAUUCCACUUUAGGAGGCCCAGGAAUCUGUGUUUAGUGCUUUUCAUCCCUUACUUAUGGUAUGCAGAAUCCCCUGGGGAUCUUGUGAAAAUGCCAAGAAUCUGCAUUUCUGCAUUUCUACCUGGCAUCGAGGUGAUGCUGACGCUCUGGUCUAGGGACACUACCCUUUGAGUAGGGGAAAGUCUGCUUUCACCCUGCGAGCCCCUGGGUGAACCCAUAUGGUCAGGGCUGUUAGGGCAUUGCUUCAUCCUGGGGGUUGGAAUGGGGAGUGGUCAACUGUGUCUGCAGAUUAGACUUACGUGAAGAGCU
rnacentral:sRNA from 1 species